GAACCAGAGAAUCAAUAGACAGGGAAGACUCAGAAACACCAAAGAGUCUGAGAGACCUCAAGAGACUUAAAGACAGAUCCAGAGACCAAAUAGAGACUGCAAAAUAGGGACAUGAAGGGGACAUCAAGAGACAGAGACACAGCCCCGCAGAGACUCCGGGAGACAAAUUCUUGGAGUCUGGCAAGAAACAUUUAUUAAACUCCUACUAAGUGCCAGGCGCUGUACCAAACGAUGGAGAUUCAAAGAAAGGCAAAAGACAGUCCCUGGCCUCAAGGAGCUCCCAAUCUAGUGUGUGGGUGGGAACCAGAAGCAAACUAGUUAGGGAGUGAGUGCUUUUCAAGGUCCCAGCUCUGACACUUUGCGAUCCCCGGAGAGAGGCUGGCGCAGAGAAAUCGAGAAAGGCAAGCCUGGGGCCAGAAAGCCCCGGGCGUCCGCCGAGGCUGGAGAUGGACUACGUUUUCCAUAAUGCAUCGCAGUGCUUCGACUUCGGGCUGUGAGGAGCGGUGAAUGAUGCCCAGGGCAACGGGGGCGGGGCCUGGAGAGUAGAGACAGAGACAGAGGCAGAGACAGAGACACAGGCAGAGACAGAGAC